rnacentral:rRNA from 1 species
AGAGUUUGAUCCUGGCUCAGGACGAACGCUGGCGGCGUGCCUAACACAUGCAAGUCGAACGGAGAAUUUCAAUAAGCUUGCUUAGCGAAAUUUUUAGUGGCGGACGGGUGAGUAACGCGUGGGUAACCUACCCAUAAACCCGGGACAACCCUUGGAAACGAGGGCUAAUACCGGAUAAUCUUAAAGCUUGGCAUCAAGAUUUAAGGAAAGGUGGCCUCUGAAGAUGCUACCGAUUAUGGAUGGACCCGCGUCUGAUUAGCUAGUUGGUGGGGUAAAGGCCUACCAAGGCGACGAUCAGUAGCCGGCCUGAGAGGGUGAACGGCCACACUGGGACUGAGACACGGCCCAGACUCCUACGGGAGGCAGCAGUGGGGAAUCUUCCGCAAUGGACGAAAGUCUGACGGAGCAACGCCGCGUGUAUGAUGAAGGUCUU